GAGGAAUCUUGGCGCAGGGCAGCCAGCUCUGAUGCCCAGGCGGCUUUGGUAUUUCACAUUGACAUAGUUUUGGGGUGAGACCAGGCUCUGGACUUUCAGUCAUACUGCGGGGUACCUGAGGCCAUGGUGGGCAGAGGGCACUGAACCCGCUGAGCUGAGGGUAGGAGCUCCUGGCUCAACCGCACCUGCCGGUCCUGCGUGGCCUGGAUACUCAGCUGAGAGAUGGGAAUAAGGGAAUUUGGGAAAAGAGAUGACGCAACGGGUGAAAAGGAGCCCCAGGACCCUGCCCCCAAGGCUGGCCGUCCAGGGAACCCUGGCCGACAACACCUGUCACCCAGGCAUGCUCAGCUUGGAAUCAGGUGCAACACAACUCCCGAGGAAUGAGUUCCUGGAAAAAUCCGGAGCAGAGAAGCUUUGGACAGUGUGUGUUUCUUUGUUGGUAAAUAAUCUCCACUAAGCGAGC
rnacentral:lncRNA from 1 species